rnacentral:rRNA from 1 species
UGGGGAAUCUUGCGCAAUGGACGAAAGUCUGACGCAGCGAUGCCGCGUGCGGGAUGAAGGCCCUCGGGUUGUAAACCGCUUUCAGCAGGGACGAAAUUGACGGUACCUGCAGAAGAAGCCCCGGCCAACUACGUGCCAGCAGCCGCGGUAAUACGUAGGGGGCGAGCGUUGUCCGGAUUUAUUGGGCGUAAAGAGCUCGUAGGCGGUUCGAUAAGUCGGAUGUGAAAUCUCCACGCUCAACGUGGAGGGGCCAUUCGAUACUGUCGUGACUCGAGUCCGGUAGGGGAGUGUGGAAUUCCCGGUGUAGCGGUGAAAUGCGCAGAGAUCGGGAGGAACACCCGUAGCGAAGGCGGCACUCUGGGCCGGUACUGACGCUGAGGAGCGAAAGCGUGGGGAGCAAACA